AGCUUGAGCGCACUCUUGGCAUCAAUCGGCAGAAUUGUUUGUACUGAGCCUUUACCAAACGUUUGCGUGCCAACCACUAAAGCGCGUUUAUGGUCUUGCAAGGCACCGGCAACAAUCUCUGAGGCCGAGGCUGAGCCACCAUUGACCAGCACCACCAGCGGUACAUUUUUUACGUCAGCAGGUAGAUCUUUGAAAAAGUCUUUUUUGCUAUCGCGCUGAUAAAAUUGCGGAUUGGCGCUUAGGCGAAUUUUGGAGUCGGCAACACGGCCUUCGGUGUAAACGACCAAGGCAUCUUUUGGUAAAAACGCGGCUGAAACGCCGACUGCGCCAUCGAGCAAGCCACCUGGAUCAUUGCGUAA
rnacentral:ncRNA from 1 species